rnacentral:rRNA from 1 species
AGUGAACGCUGGCGGUAGGCCUAACACAUGCAAGUCGAACGGCAGCACAGUAAGAGCUUGCUCUUACGGGUGGCGAGUGGCGGACGGGUGAGGAAUACAUCGGAAUCUACUUUUUCGGGGGGGAUAACGUAGGGAAACUUACGCUAAUACCGCAUACGACCUACGGGUGAAAGCAGGGGAUCGUCGGACCUUGCGCGAUUGAAUUAGCCGAUGUGGGAUUAGCUAGUUGGCGGGGUAAAGGCCCACCAAGUCGACGAUCCGUAGCUGGUCUGAGAGGAUGGUCAGCCACACUGGAACUGAGACACGGUCCAGACUCCUACGGGAGGCAGCAGUGGGGAAUAUUGGACAAUGGGCGCAAGCCUGACCCAGCCAUACCGCGUGGGUGAAGAAGGCCCUCGGGUUGGAAAGCCCUUUUGUUGGGAAAGAAAAGCAGCAGGUUAAUACCCCGCUGUUCUGACGGUACCCAAAGAAUAAGCACCGGCUAACUUCGUG